rnacentral:lncRNA from 1 species
AAACAUUGGGGACAAUGUUUGGUUUAAGUGUGGGAGGAGAUAUUUACUGUUUUUAUUUUUAUUUAUGUUUUCUAAUUUUAUUGCUUUCUAGUUAGUUUUAGUUAUGCUUCUAGUUUGUUAUUAAUAAUUAUAUGUGCUUGACGAGUCGUAUGCCUAGUUUGUCUAUUUCCCCUCAUUUCUGUAGCCAUAACAAAAAAACAAAAAAAUAUUUUUGAAUAAGAAAACAACAAUUAUUUUGAAAAUUUGGGUUGUUAGAC